rnacentral:rRNA from 1 species
CCUACGGGGUGCAGCAGUGGGGAAUAUUGGACAAUGGGCGAAAGCCUGAUCCAGCCAUGCCGCGUGUGUGAAGAAGGCCUUCGGGUUGUAAAGCACUUUCAGUGGGGAAGAAAGCCUUGGGGCUAAUACCCUCGAGGAAGGACAUCACCCACAGAAGAAGCACCGGCUAACUCCGUGCCAGCAGCCGCGGUAAUACGGAGGGUGCGAGCGUUAAUCGGAAUUACUGGGCGUAAAGCGCGCGUAGGCGGUCUGAUAAGCCGGUUGUGAAAGCCCCGGGCUCAACCUGGGAACGGCAUCCGGAACUGCCAGGCUAGAGUGCAGGAGAGGAAGGUAGAAUUCCCGGUGUAGCGGUGAAAUGCGUAGAGAUCGGGAGGAAUACCAGUGGCGAAGGCGGUCUUCUGGACUGACACUGACGCUGAGGUGCGAAAGCGUGGGUAGCAAACAGGAUUAGAUACCCGGGUAGUC